rnacentral:rRNA from 1 species
AACGAACGCUGGCGGCGUGUUUAAGACAUGCAAGUCGCACGGGAUAAGACAUGUAGUAAUACUUGUUUUAUUUAGUGGCGCACGGGUGAGUAACACGUGAAUUACAUGCCCUAUAGUGGGGAAUAGCCCAGGGAAACUUGGAUUAAUACCCCAUGGUAUCGAAAGAUUAAAGGUGGCCGCAAGGCUGUCGCUAUAGGAUUGGUUCGCGCCCUAUCAGCUUGUUGGUGAGGUAACGGCUCACCAAGGCAAUGACGGGUACCUGGUCUGAGAGGACGAUCAGGCAAACUGGAACUGAGACACGGUCCAGACACCUACGGGUGGCAGCAGUCGAGAAUAAUUCACAAUGGGGGCAACCCUGAUGGUGCAACGCCGCGUGGAGGAUGACGGUCUUCGGAUUGUAAACUCCUGUCAUCUGGGAGAAAGACCUGACGGUAAAUAGCCGGCAGGGUUGAUAGUACCAGAAGAGGAAGGGACGGCUAACUUCGUGCCAGCCGCCGCCGUAA